GGCAUGUGAAUGGGCAAAAGACAACAUUCGCACAAACACUGUUUCUCCGUCUGGUACCAGAACCUCGAUCGUGUCAAAACUUGUACUGCCUGGUCUCCCUUUACCAUAUGUUAUGCUUUGUCUUAAAAUAUUUCAUGGCGUGUUGCCCCAAUACCAAAGAAAUUAUAUAUAUAUUUUAAGAUACUACCAACUAAUAUAUGAAUUGAUCAUAAACCUUCAAAUCUCCAUAACCAUAAAAAUUCCAUAACGUUUGCUUAGAUGUCAAGCUUGUGCAGUAAAUUGAGAGUUUUUUUUAUAGGACCCAGCCGUUGCGAAGGCAUAUGAUGGGAUAUUGGGCCAAACUCCAAUUGGGCGCAUUGCAGAGCCCAACGAGGUUUCAUCGCUAGCGGCAUUCCUUUGCCUUCCUGCAGCUUCUUACAUUACUGGGCAAGUUAUUUGUGUGGAUGGAGGAUUAACUGUCAACGGUUUUUUGCCAAAGCAUUUCUGACUGAAACCGAUCACUCCAGUCUUUGUAUUGCUUUUAAUUCAGUCCUUCAAGUUCUAUCUAUGAAGCUCCAAAUUGUUAAGUUGUUCUUUUUCAUUUUGUAUGAAGCCAUUCGUAAGUUUCUGUAACUUCUGUUCUAAAAGAAAAUUGUUGUAUCAUUUUGACAUUGAAUACAAUUCAAAAUUAAGUUC
rnacentral:misc_RNA from 1 species